AACGAACGCUGGCGGCAUGCCUAACACAUGCAAGUCGAACGAGACCUUCGGGUCUAGUGGCGCACGGGUGCGUAACGCGUGGGAACCUGCCCUUAGGUUCGGAAUAACUCCCCGAAAGGGGUGCUAAUACCGGAUAAUGUCUUCGGACCAAGGAUUUAUCGCCUUUGGAUGGGCCCGCGUUGGAUUAGCUAGUUGGUAGGGUAAAAGCCUACCAAGGCGACGAUCCAUAGCUGGUCUGAGAGGAUGAUCAGCCACACUGGGACUGAGACACGGCCCAGACUCCUACGGGAGGCAGCAGUGGGGAAUAUUGGACAAUGGGCGAAGGCCUGAUCCAGCAAUGCCGCGUGAGUGAUGAAGGCCUUAGGGUUGUAAAGCUCUUUUACCCGGGAUGAUAAUGACAGUACCGGGAGAAUAAGCUCCGGCUAACUCCGUG
rnacentral:rRNA from 1 species